AGCUUAUCUUUGGGGAAAGCAUAGCAUGCAGUCCUAUUUUAGUCCUAUUAUAACGAGGAGGGAGAAAAAUAAUGUCAACCUGCACCAGUACUCAGAGCAGGAGCCUUGUGGAGUGCCUGCGUAGGGCAUGAGCUGCCAUGCAGCACGGGAGGUGUGUCAUUUUGGCAAACAGAGAAUGUUGUGACGCAGAAUCAAACUGUCAGCAGCCAAUGUGUGAAAGGGUGUUCCUCCCUUCUCACAGGAAGUGAUAGUUUUGUAAGCCCAGGGUCAGCCUUCCGAGACGGUCCACCAGGAUGCUGGGGAGGAUUUUGGGCCGUGGUCCAGUGGCGUGGUGCAGGUGGGGGGCUCACCUACACCCCUGGGACCUCCAUGCUGUUCCACCACUGCUGUGCUGUGCCAGAGGUGUCGGGAACAGAGCCAGGGUUGCGCAGGGUGCAGUGCUGCAGACAGCUGCUCCAGGCUGGUCUUCCCACCAAGGAGCUGCUUGGUGCCCACUGCAGAUGAGGUUUCUGCACCAAAUUCCUCGCCCUGCAUUCAAAAAUGAAAGAAGGCCUACAAAUUUUGACAAAAAGGUGUUGGUGUGGGCAGGACGCUUUAAAAAGGAGGAGGACAUUCCCAAGUACAUAACGUCUGAGGUUUUGGAUGCAGCAAGGAACACUGUGAGGAUAAAAGUUUGCUACAUCAUGAUUGCACUGACCUUGCUGGGUUGCUUGGCCAUGGUCAUCACAGGCAAAGAAGCUGCUAAAAAGGAUCACACACUGCUGAGGGUGAAUGAAGAGAAGAAGGCUAAAUGGAGGGCUGAAGCAGAGAAAGAUCAUGAGGCAGCUGCUGUGAAGGCACAAUGAUCAGGAACAGCUUCAUUUAAAGUGUCACCAAACUCUGAGAUGAUGCUUAAUGGGAGAGAUCCUCGAAAUAUUGAAAGUUCCAUUUUCAUAAAGUCAUUAAACUUUAAGACAGACCUCAGCUUACCCCUGUGGUCCGAGUCUCCGUGCAUCAUUCAUAUCAUAGAAUCAUAAUGUUGGAAAAGACCACUAAGUUCAUCAGGUUCAACUGUGAAAUCAUCAUCAUCAGGCCUGCUAAAACAGGUAAACCCUUAAGACCCAUAAGUUGAGCCCACAGAGCUGGAUAUGCUGCAUGGGGUACCAAGGGAUGUGGAGCAGCAAAACCUGCCAUCUCAUCCCAACCACCAAAGGAGGUGGCAAACGCUGUAACCGUCUCAGCCUUUCUGCUACACAUAAUCACACCAGGGCUUGGCUCUGCUGCUGCAAGGUUUGUUACCUGGACCACGUAUACUUGGUUCCAGCAGUCUGGAAGAUUCCAUGGAGGUGUUUGGGUUUAUUGUGCCAAAAAUGAUGGUCCACUCAUCACUGGUGUGUCACUCCAUGAAGAAGCUGCUGGCAAGGAUGAGCUCUUCCCUAGGGUUUGGGGUCAGUGCUCAGCAGCUGUUGGGCUCUUGGGCUCCUGGAUCUGUAGUCUUUCGGUAUUUGGUAGUGGAGGUUUCUUCCUUCUGCACACCUGUGGAGGAUGAGGAGCUGUGUGAGGGGACGAUACAUCUGUCACAUCUUGGUGUUUGCAGCCCUUGUUUCUAACUCACAGACUCAUGCAGUACAAAUUGUAAGAAGUGAUGUCUGCUCCCUGCAGUAUUCCUCACACUGCAUCUCAGAAAAGUAAAAAUAAUGGUCUAGGACAAGUGCAGAGUGAGCAAGUCUCUGAUGAGAAGACAGUUCUGCUGGCACAGGUAAUCGGUGCUUGUUGGGUGGAUGUGACCUGGUUUCCUUGGUUAGUGCACUAACCUGGAAGAAUUUCCUCAGAGUUAAUGUUCACGUGGGGAUAAACUAAAACACUCAGUCCCCUGGAUAAGUUCUGAAUUAUUAAAUUGCCUUCUUGGGCCCUUGCUAAGAGGACACAUGUAACAUUUAAAGGAGCCCAUUCUGAUGCUCAUAAACAAAAUCACUUCCACAUUCUGGACUUCCCUGACUAAAGCAGAAAAGGAGAUGGCUACAACUGUGAUCAAAGAACAAACACAUUAACAGUGACUUGUUCUGUUCUGCACUUUCCUGUGCCUGGGAGAAAACAAAUAAGCAGCCAACCCAUUUCAGAUAUGGGCUAUUUUCAAAUCCUCUCGAAUAACCUUGGUCUCUGUUGUGUAGUGCAUAAAGCUGCUGCACUACACGUUGUCAGUAAGAAGAAGGAAAAAUCAAUUCCUCCUCCCUGAUCCAUUGACGAUGGGCCAUCUUGGUUUGAUCAGAUGACCCAGCUGCUUUUGGGCUCUCACAAAGAGCAGUGAACAUUAUGUAAGGGAUAAUCCUUUUCCAGUGCUGGCUACAAGAUAAUUCAUUUUAAUAUAGCAGUAUUCACCCUCCAAAAUCAAUCAGAUGAAUCACUGGCUUGUACUCUGCUGGUGUAGCACAGCCUCAUCUGGAGCCAUUCCCUGUAGUAAUGGGAGAUGCCAGCAGAGGACAUUGUGCUGAUGCCUCUCCAGCAGUGGGACUUAGCACUGCUCACUAAAAUCAGUAUCUGUUUGCAGAGUCCUUUGACUCUCCUUUGGAAAAGCUUCUAAUUAACACAGCUUCCAAAUCCUCACCACCUUGGGCUAGUGGCGUUUUUUACUUCUCCUCCAUCUAUAUUGCUUCAGAGUCACGCCUGAUCCCAGUCAUUUAAAAAGGAGGCAGAAGUUGUUGUUAGGAAGAAGUGAUUCUUCCCUUUUUCAAAAACAUGCCAUGUAUUUCCCCAGCCUGGCCUUAAGGCAGGGAUGGAGCUGGGAGCACUGCUUUGCCACUAGGCUCAGGCAUUGGAGGUGAGUCUUUUCAGCUCUCACCUCCUUGUUUAUCCCUCUGCAUCAGAAGGAAAGAAAGCUUCCCCCCUUGUAGGGCUUUUGCCAUUUUAAUAAACUCCUACGUAGAAAUGGCUAACAAUGGGCUGUAGGCUGGUGCCAGAGAGCUUUGUUUCAUAGUGAUCGCUGGGGAAUAUUUUGCUUAGUAGCUGGAGUUUACCUAAUUCUGCUUCCAUUAAAAUCAAUGUUGUGAUUCCUCCUGGCUGUGGAUUAGAGAUAUUAUCCACUGCUUUUGGAAAUCCAUCUGUUUUGCAGAAAAUUGCCUUCCCCAGGAUAGCUGUGGGGCAGCAAUGGAUGCACCCGAGCUUUCUUCUGCUGCAGUGAUGAGGUCUCUGAUGACCUCCCAGUGCAUCAGACAGAAUGUGAGAUGGAAAAUUUGAGCUCCAGAGAUCCUCGACCCUUCCUUGCUCAUUUUGCCUCUCUUUUUGACUCAUUCGGGAGUUUAUAGUGACACUUGGUUUCCUCCCACCCAUCUGCUACGAACUGCUCCUCUCUGGUAUGCAUUAGAUCCCAUGCUGUCCUGCACUUGCAGGAUCCCUGAUUUCCCUAGAUGCAAGCAACAUCUUGCCAUUCAGAUCUCAUUUUAAAGCCUUUCCUGUUUAAAGUCUUCAGCAUUUUUUCUCCCACCAAGCUGGAAACUGCUGCUCAUUUAAAGGCAGAUUGCACCCACACUCAGCUUCCAGGCUUUGGACGUUGUCUUCACUAUGGAGUAGAAAACAUGCCAUCUCAGCUCUUUCCUGUGUGCAGCCGGUUGUCCCUCCUUUGGAGCUGGAUUCCUGCUAUUUUCAGAACCCUGUUGUUUCUGACUGUUGCUUGGUCGGUGUCACUGGCUUACUGGCCCAUGGGGUGAGGCCCACUGGGUUUGCUCCUGUAUCAAGAGAUUUGCUAAGGUUAGAAUCCUCUUCAUAAACAAUCAAAGCGAAUGUUAUUAGCACUGAAUCAAUAACCUAGUCUAGUACUUUCGUGAGAAGAUCUAAGAGCUGUUCAGACUUUUACCAGCUACUCUGGGGAAUCCCAGUGCACAGUGGUGUUGCUGCAGAGGCUGUGUUGCUCUGUGCCUGAGGCUCCAAUGCCUGCAGGAGCAGCAUGACUGCAAGGCUGGGGGAAAGCUUUUGUUCCUUGGAUCUGUUCAAAGGAGAUUCAAGGUUGAAGGCCUCCUUUUUCCAGCCUCAUGCUCCCUUACUGCAGCAAAUAAGCUGUGGCUGCUGCUGGCCCAAAGGAGAGCUGUGCAGCUCACACCCAUAGUGACUGCAGAGAGAGUUUAAAUGCAGCUCUCCUGUUUGAAUUUGGCACGAAGUCAUUCUAGCCUAGCAGGGAAGCAAGACCAAUGCUCAAUAAUUUGAAUUAAUUAAAGGAUCAUUCAUUAAUGCGCCGAGGUAGCGUUAAAGCAAUUUUCCAUGGUUAAGUGGUUUGACAGUCAUUAGGGCUGUAUGAUUUAUUGCAAAACCAAUGUGACUGUCAGAUGAGGAGUAGGUAAGUCCUGAAAGGCUCAGCACUCCAAAUGGAGCAUUGCACCUCUCUGCUCUGCCCAGCCAUGCUGGUCCCACACCUGGGCUCUUCACAGAGGCAGCUGCUACACAGAAACCUGGAGCUUGGAUCUGAUUCUUCCUCUAGAACAUUGCAUCUCCCCAGUGAGGAGAUCCAGGCCUUCUGCUGUUUGGUCAUGGGCUGUUAUUUGCUGGGUGUGUGAGGGCUCAGGAGGGGAGGAGGGCAAACUGAAACAGGAUUUAGCUGAGCUCACUCGUGGCUUAUGCAUGCUCUGCAAUGUGAGCUGUUCAUAGCAACUGCCAGGGAGGCUAGACCAGAAAAUCAAGGGAUCUGCAUGCCAGUUUGUAAUAUGCAGAUGAGAGAUGGUCAGGAGACUUUUUGUAGAUGAAAUAGAAACCAAAAUAGCCCAAUGAAUUAGUCAUAUGCUAAUUACAAUCAUUGGUUGGUGUUUCUGCAGGCUGUAUUAAUGCACUGCAAAUCACACACAGCUCUGUUAGCUGUUUUCUCGUGAUCCUGGCAUCAUCCUGUAACAGAUUUCUAACAUCAGAGCUAAAGGGCAUCCUCUAGGGAUGCAAAAGUGCCAUUAAAGCAAUGCUGCUCCAGUCUCCAUAACAGUUUCACACCGUACCAAGGGGCCAAAAUCAGGCUUGAAAGGUGGGAAGUUAAACACCCAAGCAUUUUCCUUGACAAACCUCAGUGUGAAGUAAAAGCACGACCAUUGCCCAUUGUGUUCUCCCACUCAUUUCCAUUUUUCUCCUCCCAGACCUGCUGUGUGGGCUGUGCAGGGGAUGCUGUGAGCUGAGGACCCACUGCUGCACACGUGAGCUGGGGAGGCUGCGGGGCUGCACGCCCUGUGCUCUGACACUGCAGAAAUGGGCAAAGAGCUGCCUGUGCAGCUGCAGCAUUCCAUGUGCCACCUCCCACAGCCUCUCCGUAGCUGUCAAUAUGUACUGACUGAGGAAUUUUGAUCUCCUUACUGCUUUUGCUGAAUGCACUGCGAGGCAUUUUGAGCUCAUUGCCAUUGAAGUCCAGGUGCCUGUGGGCUUCCACCUGGCUGUGGAGCACACAGGUGUCCUGCUGAGAUGCUAUCUGGGAAGGAAACUGCACAGGGUGAGGAGCAGAGAGCUCCUGGAUGUCACCUGGUGUCCUUCAGCCCAGGCCAAGCUCUUAGCUGGCACCUGGGUGCUGUGCAGCAGAUGGUGCCAUGCUCCAAAGCCUGGCUGUGAGAGCCCAGCUGCUAUGUGCAACCCAGGGCAGCAUCAGCUCUGCAGCUCACGCAUGAGCUGCAGUGCCACGACCCACCUGCCCUGGGGGUGACAGGGCUGGGGACAGGAUGCCCAGCUGCAGGGACCCUCCUGCUCUCAUGUCCUUAUUCUGCUCACCCUGACAGCUGCUGGGGUUCAUACAGGCUUCCCACAGCUCAUAGGCUGCAAUGUUUGUAGGGUGAGACAUUGGCCUUUCAUUGAGAAGCUCAGGAUGUACAGUGACUGCUUUAUGGCUGUUCAGCCUUCUCUUCAGGAAGAAGUAGGACACAGAGCUCUGCAAAGCAGCCUGAGCUCUGGUAUUUUAUUUUGGUUUGAUUAGAAAUGAUAAUAAUAAAAAGUCCCAGCAAAAGUGUGUCUGAAUAUGAGCUUGAGUCACCCACCUCCACAGUCACUUUCUGUGCACACAGCAAUGCACCAGCCUGGAAAAUGAUUUGCAAUAUACCUCAGGUUUGUUUCUUUUUUUUUUUUUUUCCCCUUUUACACAUAUAUUUACAUAAAGGAAAAUAAAAUCUCUGCAGCCAGCCUAUCUUUAUCUCAAAAGCAGGUUUCCCAUGAGACAGAAUGAAAUAGUGCGGAUGUCUCAUCUGAUGGAUGAAUGAUGAGAAUUUCACUUUCAGCCCUGUGGAAAGAAGGUGGAAGUUUUGAGCUGGCAGCUGAGGUGCUGCUUUUCUACCACCUCUGCAAAGUGGAGGAUCUAACCCUGCCUGCCUCAAUGGCUCCCAGAGGAUGCUGAUGCUAUUUCACUCAUUUCAGAGGGAAGGAGGUGAGGGAUGUGGAUGGCUCGAGGUCUCCCAGCAGCAGUUCCUUAUGUCCCACGGUGGUGCUCAGACAACUCCAAACCUGUUGGAGAGAAGUGCAUUCAGUUUUACACAUUCUGUUUGCCCCACGUGCUGUACUUGUUGUGGCAUGUGCUGGACUCAGUAGGCACAUGUGUGGGUGCUGCCAGGGCCCUCACAUCCCCAACCUUCAGCAAGGAAGGAGCAAGAGCUGCUUUCCCUGCUGUGCCAGAUGUAGGGAAUGCAUCACAUGCAACACAGCUGAGUAAUGGGGCUGUGCAAUUCAGCAUGGAUGCUGUGAGAGGGGACAAGUGCAAAUGUGGGCUGUCAUGGGCUGCAUCCAUUUUUUUUUCUUUUAGAGCAGAGGCCUCCGAAAGGGCUCUGGUUCCAAGCUUGUGGCUGGCUGUGAGCCUCCCUCUGCCUCCCUGCUCCCUGUUAAUGUUUCCAUCAGCAAGAGAAAGUGGUUGGAACUGUUUUUACAGGGAUCGUGACCUGGAAAUUAAGGCAGCCUUCUGCAUGUGCUCACCCAAUCCAAAAGCCUUGGCCAGGUUGGGAUGCUCACACAGCCAUCGAUGCUAGCUCAGUGCUUCCCAGGCAGCAGUCCCCCCUGCUGCUCUGUAUGCAGGAGUACUCCUAUAAACAGCCAUAAAACCAUGUACUUAACCAAUAAAACGGGCAUAGGAGCUCUGAUAUCCACACACCAGAGCCAAGAUAAUGGCUCUCUUGGAAACUAGCCCUCUACGUGGGCUGAAAGAAUGUGAUUUCUAACUGCACAGCCAUUAACCCCCAUUACCCCCCCUGCUGUCCCUCUGUGCUCUGCAUCCUGAACCAGCCCUCAGCCCACCCUUAGAGUACCCAAGUCCCUGCACUGAUCCUGCUGAGCGUCUGCAGCUGGGACCCUCUCAUGCAAGAACAGAGCAGCAGUGCUCUGCCUGUUGGAAAACCCAGCCCAAAUUACCGAGGUGCAGGAAAUGCAGCUCUCCUGCUUCUCCCACACCCCUGGGGCACUCAGGUGCUUGCCAGCUCGGUUGUUCGCUUGGCUGGGCACAACGGGAGAUGUGUUUGUUGCUUGAGCUUUUCUAGCAAUUUUCCUUGAACUGCAUGGGAUCAGCAAGGAGCUGCAAACUGGGAUUUUCAGCCUGGCUUUGAGGGGCGGUCAGGGCUGAACUGCAACCCUCAGGCUCCAGUACCGACACCGAUACCCUUCCAGCGACCUUCCAUCUCUGGCAGAGGGGAGCGGGGCUCCUCCCAUCAUUUUAGAAUGCAAACCCACCGCUUGACAUCUGUAGGAAGUUAACCUCGGUGCAAGAACCACUUUAGCGACUCCUAUUUUAAUUGCCUGGAGAAUAGAUGUUAACCUAGCUUGAAACUCGAGGCAGAUUUGCAUAACAACGGAUCUAAAAGCUGCGCUCGCUCCCACAACCCGCACAGGGAAACGUGUUUCUGCGGAAAAAUCCAUUAAGCUCAGAUUCAGCCUCACCAACGCGAGCAAAACAGCUUUUAUUAACGCCUUAGCUGCGAUGGGGGAGAACUCCAGGCUGUCAGCUGUGACUGCAGGAAGGCUCUGGGUGCUGUGCUCAGGAUGCAUAAUAAAAAAGGAUGAGGAAUUGCACGUCAACAUGUCAGAGGAAAGUGAGGACACGAAAUACUGUUUACCAACGUUGUGCUUCAGUCAGGAUGGGAAAGCUGUCAAAUGGGAAGGACAGAACAGAGCUUGAGUUUCUCUCUGGUUGGGCUUUCCUGUCCCUCUUUGACUUCUUUUUUUCCCCUUCUUUCAUGCUGGCAGCACUGGGUUGCUCUGGUUGUGUUUGGCAGAGGCUAUAGGAGUCCCAUGAUGACCCCUAGUUCUGUGCCACCUGUGCCUGCUGUGCUGUGACCUUGCUGUGACCGUGCCAUGCCAUGCACAUCCCCUCUGCCACACAGCCACCAGGCAGGGUUGGUGUCAGCUCUGUUCUGCUCAGCUCAAAUGUGUGCAGACAUUUCCUCUCCUGCUUCAUUUUACAGUGCUCUUCGUGAUGAAUUUCCAUUAUGUGUUUGGGCAGAUGCUGAGCAUAGCCCCAGUUUAAUCAGGGAUGCAGGAAGACAGCAUGUUCACACCUUGCAGAAGCCACGAUCUCCUGAUCUUCUCUGCCAGAAAUGCAGCAUUUUCAUAUAUUAUUUUAUAAUAUAUUAAAAUAUUUUAAUUAUUUUUAAAGCCAUUCUCUGGUUACCAUGGUUUCAGGGAAACAGAGGGCUGGCAGUGCUGGGAGAUUUCCCUGGCCAUGCCAUGGAGCUGUUUGGCUGAGGGUUCCUGUGCCAGCGUUGUCACCUGCACUACCUCCAGGACACAGCGAGCAGCAUCCUUUGCAUGCACCUCAAGGGAUUCCUUGGCUGCAGAGUGGUUGCAGAGAGGACACCUGCCCUGCAGAUUUGCAAUGCACGUGUGCAAGCCAGGCACCUUACACCUUCAGAAAAAUGUAGUGAUGUGUUUGCAAAAAGCCCUGCUGGUCUGCACCCCUGGUAUUAGAAAUGCUGUCACCUCCGGGGCAAUCUGAGAGGAUUGCAGCUCUCAGGUGCCUUUCAGAAGGACUCUGACAGCUUAAGAAAUGCCCUCGGAACAGUUCCUGCUUUCCGUGCUGGCCAGUAUCAUGCUGCUUAAUCACUUUUAAAGUUCAGAGAAUCCAUAAUCUGGCUGGAAAAUGUGGAGAAAGCAAAAUUUGCUGGAAGAGAGGGCAGAGAGUGAGCUCUGAGGGUAGGACUGCUGCCUUUUAAAUAGGCAUUUGUUAGUGCAAAGUGGAGUUUGUGUAGGAGCUGUAAGUAUAUACAUGUUUCCUUGGCCUUGCUUUCCUUUUGAAUGAAGAUGAUUCAUUUGAUUUUUUCACUGCUUUUUCCUUCCACAAUCAUUUUUGAGAUCAGGGAUGGUGCCUUAUGGAAGCAACAUGGGGCAGUGAAGGCAGAGGAUCUGAGGAGAACAGGAGGACCUUGCUCCUCCUCCUCAGCCACCCACUCUUUCCAAUGCCAAUAGCACCAUAUUGCAAGGGAGAAAACCCAUCCCACAGCUGGCACAAUUCUGUGAAUGCAUAAGUGACAUGAACCAGGGCUAGUUAUGAUGAACAGCAGAAAUAAAAAGGAAGAAUUUGAUCCUUUGCACUUUCCUCGCUGAGUUAAUGGCAACACUUCAAACCUAGCACCAUUAAAGCAUUCAGGAAAAUAGCAGCUCAUAUAAAUGCAGGGCAAUUCCUGCUUCUGUGUGGACCAGAGCCACCAAAAUGAUUCUUCCCAUGGCACCGGCUCCUCCAUCACCAUCAGAGUGAGUCUAAGAGGUAAAAAUAGAGAGGAAGGAAGAAAUGUAUCCACCUCCAUUUCUUUUUUUCUUUUUUUUUUUUUUUCCUAACCAAAUUGAAUAACCUCCACCAGGGAGCUCCUUCCACUUCUAAAUGGUUGAAUGAAGGUCCAAUUUAUUUCCUGUCACACUCUCCCAUGCUCCGAUGUGAUGCGAUCUGCCCUGUGAGCACUGAGUGGGUUCUCCUUGAGCCAUCUGCAUCCCCUGCGCACACUGCCAGCUCCUUUUUAUCAUUUUGAUUGGUUGGUUUGGUUUUGGAAAUAAAUCCUAUGUUUCCAUAAUCUCCUGGGGUCAUCACCUGUUCCAGUCAAGGAAAUGCAGUAUGAACUGUUACUGUAGAUCCUUUUCUCAGACAUCCAUUGCAGUUCUGUCGCUGGUGCAAGGACACUGUCUUGUUCUUGUCGCAGGUGUAUGGACAGGAAGGCAAGGAGAGGGUGAGGAAAGGGGUGGAGGGAGUUCACUCAUUUGAUGUGAGCAGAUGAGACUAAGCCAGGAAGGGAAGAGCAAAAUGUGGAAAGCAGCCUCAUGCUGGGCUCCAGGGCCACUGAAGCUGCUGCAAACCAAUGGAGCAGUGCAGAGUGCAGUGCAGAGAGACAGUGCUGGGUGCAGCAGCAGCUUAAGUUAGAUGUUAGGGAGAUAUUCUUCACUCAGACGGUGGUGAGACCUUGGCAGAGGGUGCCAAGAGAUCAGUGGGUGCCCCAUUUCUGGAGGUGCCCAAGAGCAGGUUGAAUGGGGCAGCCUGAGCUGGGGGGGAGCAGCCAGCCCACAGCAUGGGUUGGAGGUUGAUGAGCUUCGAGGUUCCUUCCAACCUCAACCUUUGUGUGCUUCUGUGAUCCUUGUCCCUCCCCAGCUGUGCUAUGGGUGUGCCAUGUGUUCCCCACACAGAUUGGCAGGGGAGGACAUCUGAGCUGUGCUUUCACGUGUGCUAUCACUCAUGAAGUUGAUGGACCUACGCUUGUUCUUGCAAAGAGAAACAAACAAAACGAUCAUUGCCAUAGCUGUGAAAGAGCUCUCAUGGAGUUAUGACAAACACACUUAUACUGUCCUCACUAAUGAUCUGCCCUGGAGAAAGAAAUCCAUUAUGCAUGAAGGCUGGGAAGACAAAGGGAGCAUUGGUGUGUGGAACUGAUUAGCUCAGGCUUUAAUGUGCAAUUGGGCUGGGGUUCUGCUGGCCUGGGACAAAGCACUGCACCACAGGCUAUGGGUUGCACAGGGCUCCCUGUGCCCCGUGGUGUUCGUGGCUCAUAGGUGUGCAUGGGGAGGGGUCUUGUGCUCACUGCUGUGAGUGUGCAAUUGGGGAAUGGCAUCUGUGCAAAGAGAGACCAGAGCCUGCUGUAACGCAUGGCAAGAGCAAGAGGAUGCGUCUGAAUGUUUCCAGCUUUGCAUGGAAUCAUAGAAUUGGAGUUGGAAGGGACCUUUAAGGCCAACAGGUCCAACUCCCUGCACUGAGCAGGGACACCCACAGCUCCAUCAGCGCUCAGAGCCCAUCCAGCCUGAAAUUGGGUGUCUCCAAGGAUGGAGCACCCCCACCUCUCCGGGAACCUGUGCCAGUGCUUUACUAACUGUGAAAAAACUAUUCCCUUAUAUCCAGUCUAUCCAAAAUUUUGGACGCAUUGCUCUCCAAAAAGCUCUAUGGAAACUGAGGAGCACAUGUGGGUAAAAACAGCAUCAUCCUCCAGCACUGCACAUGGCCGCAGUGCUGAGAGCUGCACAGCAUGCAUAAAAUUAGCAACAUUGUGUUUUUGUUUCCUCCUUUGAUUAGGAAAGCUCGUUGCAAGUGGUGUGUUUAAACAGAUAUUAUGCAGGAUAGCGAUAACCAGUUUUAAGUCAUUAUACAAGCAGUUUAAUUUGAUGUUGCUCUAUAAAUAAUCUAAGUCUAUUUGCAUGCAUAUUCUGUUGACAGGAAGAUAAAAACCAUAAUUCCUACAAACAACAUAACGAUGUUAUGUCAGUAGCAAAAAAAAAAAAAAAAAAGAAGAAAAGAAGAAAAA